UACGUAGGGUGCAAGCGUUGUCCGGAAUUAUUGGGCGUAAAGAGCUCGUAGGCGGUUUGUUGCGUCGGCUGUGAAAUCCCGAGGCUCAACCUCGGGUCUGCAGUCGAUACGAGCAAACUAGAGUGUUGCAGGGGAGACUGGAAUUCCUGGUGUAGCGGUGAAAUGCGUAGAUAUCGGGAGGAACACCCGUGGCGAAGGCGCUUUCUGGACCACUACUGACGCUGAGGCACGAAAGCCGGGGGAGCAAACAGG
rnacentral:rRNA from 1 species